rnacentral:rRNA from 1 species
UACGUAGGGUGCAAGCGUUGUCCGGAAUCAUUGGGCGUAAAGCGCGCGUAGGUGGCCCGAUAAGUCCGCUGUAAAAGUCAACGGCUCAACUGUUGAAAGCCGGUGGAUACUGUCGGGCUAGAGUACGGAAGAGGCAAGUGGAAUUCCUGGUGUAGCGGUGGAAUGCGCAGAUAUCAGGAGGAACACCUAUAGCGAAGGCAGCUUGCUGGGACGUUACUGACGCUAAGGCGCGAAAGCGUGGGGAGCGAACAGG